CACCAUGUAUCUCUCUGAUCCUCCAAGUUGAUGCUUGUGAUUCUGUUCUCUCAGUAUCUCACGAGGUCCAGUAUAUUUUUUUCAGUGUAGUGUUGCUUCACAUUUGAUAUUUUCAGUGUAGUGCUGAUACACGCUUCACUUAACCGGGAGAUAUUUGCCAGUGGCGAUCUACAACCGGCCAGCCGUAUCACGGUUCAUGUUUUUGUUGGUUCGUAGUGCCCUUUCCACUGGAAUUUAUUGUGAUGAAUCGAUCUGGCCAUAUCCUGACUGAACAUAAAAAGUCUGAUGUAUCAAACUGGCCACAUCCUUUUACACUUAUUGAUUGAUAUAAGUAAUCUUCUUUGCAAUUUGCUGUACAAAUCAAUCUAGCUGAGUUUUGUAGUUGAUCCCAUUAAGUGAAAUAUUAAUCUUAGAAGGUCUUUGACUAAUUUUAGAGUUGAGUUUAAGAUCCCUAAGAGGUUUCCAACAGCAAACAGAUUUAGGUGCUGUAGUGAUUGGUCAAUGUUGCUAUGUCAGAAGUGCUUUCGGUUAUAGCAACAUGCACGUACCAGUGGUUGGAAACAGGUAUAUGGAUUGAUUUUUGGGAGAUUUGCAUGCAUGAAGAACCUUGCUACAUAAGCUUUCGGCCAUGAGACACAUAUAUAUUCUGACAAAUUUCUUCUCCGUUGAACUAUUUAUGUCCUCUUGCAGAUGGUAAUCAUCUUAACUAUGAGCAAGUAGGUCGGAACUAUGAGCAAGUAGGUCACGUUUAAGAUCUCAAGGAUUCAGUGAUGUUGGAUCUAAUAGUUGGACUUCACCGCCUUCUCAAUUUAUAUAGGUGAGCACUGUUGCUUGCUGACUCACACAGCAGGAAUUAGGCGGGUUGUGGCGAACGAGGAACCAAGAGGGGCGGAAACUGUAGCUAUACAACUGCGGAAUUGAUCAAUACGAGCAUGCUUUGUCUAGCCAGGGAGAGCGCCGAGGGUGCUGGUCUGUGGCACCAGAAGAGGUGAACUCUCAACGAGAUACUAAUCAAUGGUGAAGUAUUUAGAUCAGUUCUACAACCAACUCAUGUGCUUAUAACUGUAGCUUUUGUUCAAACCUCAGUUGUAGGUAAGCUACAUUGCCAAGUGCAAAUCCUCAUCUUACUACAGUUUUCAACUUUUCAUUGAUUUUCUAUUUUGGAUUGUAUUUCCAUUUUGGGCCCCAUUUUUGACUGUAGCUUUUGUUCUGACCCCACUUGUACGCAAUGUAAUUUGCAGCCAUGAUGCUACAUUGCCAAUAUUUUAGAAAACUGUAAUUUGCUGCCAUGAUGUUACGCACGUGCAGGUCUAUGGUAGUGGUACGAAUUUGGGGGUACAUCUCCUCGCACUCAGGUGGAAGAAAUUCCUCGCCCUCAAGUCCAACUAAUUCAGGACCUGCAUCUCUGAUAUACCGUGGUUGGUUCCUUCCUCGAUGCCUUCUCUCUUGACAAUCGAUGAAAUACACAACUAGCUUGCACAUAUUUAAGGAGCACGUACAGUUUCAUUGUGUAAAAAAUAGUAGCAGGUGGGUAUUUUAGCAGUUCAGCUAUCUGAAAGAGAAAAUGAGUUGCUUCAGCAGAAAACCGAGGUCAUGACAUUAGCCACUUCACUGAAACCGGUCAGUUCAUCACUUCAUCUUUGUUCGUUGGAAGCAAGGUCAUGUGUAAGACGGAGGAGGAAACUGAUUUGGCUCUUCAUCACGUUGAGACUGUUGCAGCCAUGUGUGAUGUGUCAAUUUCUAUGAUGGGACAAAGGGUAGAAUCAGGAUGAUAUGGCUAAGAAAUAGUAGCAAAUAAGUGACUACUAGGGUGUCCGUACUAGCAACAAAGUUACAUAAAUUUAUUGAUCUUGAACUAAUUUGCACAUUCUUUAUUUAUCCGUAAUUUAGUUUUGCUUCCAUCCGAAAAACAUUAUAAAUCAGUAAUAAAGGUAUGUACGGAUGAAAAA